rnacentral:rRNA from 1 species
GACAGAGGGGGCGAGCGUUGUCCGGAGUCACUGGGCGUAAAGCGCGCGCAGGCGGUCGCCAAAGUGUCGUGUGAAAGCCCCCGGCUCAACCGGGGGAGGCCAUGGCAAACUCGGCAACUGGAGCGGCGGAGAGGCCCCUCGAAUUGCCGGUGUAGCGGUGAAAUGCGUAGAGAUCGGCAGGAAGACCAAGGGGGAAGCCAGGGGGGUGGCCGCUGGCUGACGAUGAGGCGCGACAGCGUGGGGAGCGAACCGG